rnacentral:lncRNA from 1 species
UGUAAAUGAAAUGAUGUCCACUAAUUUAAGGAGAUGGCCGGGUGUGAGCCAAUGAGCCCGGUCCCAAUGUGACUUAUUAAGAUCACACCAAAGUUACUACCUGGCAUUUUUCUGGUGGAAGCACUCAGCGUACAUUCUGAUGACUUUAACCAAUAUAAUAAUUCGUCUCUACUAGAAGACAAGCAGCAGCUGUCAGCUGCCAUGCAUACCAGCAGCUGGCAAACAAACUAAAUCCUUUUUAUGUGAAAGAAAACAACAUCCUAAUCCACUCCCCGCUUCCCCCGACCCCCUACCAAUCAACCUAUCCAGGAAGACAAAAACCCCUCAAAGUUCUCCAUAAAUAAAUACCUGACCAAAGUUAAACACGGCACAGAAAAACUGUAACUCAACAUAAAGUCUUCCAGGCUCUUGGUUGAAUAGCCACCAUAAACAACUGGAAAGAUUCUGUAAAGAAAGGAGAAAAGAGUAUUUUAAAAUCAAGCAAGCUGAUAAUUCCUCUCCAUCCACAGCAUAGUACAAUAACUUACCUACUUAAUAAUUACAGGGAAAAAGACUAGACGGAAAAACACUGAGAGAAUAUAGAGGCUUUAUCUUUUCAAUAAGAAAGUUUCAACCUCUCCUCCUGACAGAUGUCAUUCAAACAGUUAUCUAUUCUGAUCAGAUUUGAAGCAAGAAGACAUGAGCCAUAAUACAGAAGCUUACAUAAUGUAUCAAGAUUGCCAACUAGCCUAAGACAGGCCUGAUUUUAAAUUUAGUUCUACACAAUGAAAACAAUUACAUCACUAAGCAAUUCUUGGCAGCAUUUCUUAUUUUUUGAUUUUUGUUCUUAAAUGGCACUUAAAGUGGUAUUGGCUGAUAUCACACUAUCUCACGAGCAUCCCAGUGUGCAAAGCGUUCCUUCAUAGGUUAUCUGGUCCAUCUCCUACCUCUGGACGAGUUACACUUGAACCAUCUCAAAGAAUUAUAUAAUAAGAACUGAUAAUUCACAAAUAGGACAUUUAGUAAUCAAAGAAAUGCAUGUAGUCUAAAAAUAAAAUACUGUAUUUUAAUUUUCUCUAUUUUGUAAGGGUCU